rnacentral:lncRNA from 1 species
AUUCUGGCAUAUUUAAAACAGACUUCUUUUCUUUUUCUUUUUUGGAAUUCCUAGGGAUUGAACGCAGAGCGUUGAACGCAGAUAAAUGUUCUACUGUGAACCACUCCCGAAGCAGAAGCUAUUAGGCGCAAUGUCAAAGUUUUCUUAUUUGCAAGUUGGGCCACAUGACACCCGCAAUACGGAAUUAUCACAUGUGAAGUGUGAUACGGGCUGGCGGCCGGAUGUCCAGAAGAAGCUGGAAGUCCAGGUACCGGGAUGUGGACAAGAUGGCCCCGGACUGACCUGAGACGACUGAAACCUCCGGGACUUGGAUAGGAGUCUUGUGCGGAUUGGUGCUAGAGCAGAAUCCGGGGCUGCAGAUACCGCUUCGGAAGGAGGG